GUGGCGAGAAACACUGACGUGUGUUGAUCGUCAUAUUACAUUGAUGAGUAGUUUACAUAAACACUGACGUUUCUUUUCUCUUGAUGCUUUGAAAUUAGGAAUUCAACAAGUGGGGUUACGCAACUUUCACUUCCACUUGUUUUUAUUUUCUUAUUGACAACGAGUUGUAUGUUCUGUAGCUUUUUCGGGUUAGGACCCAAAAACAUGUACACGAUACUUGUUAAUGGGUCUCAAUUUUUCAUUCAUUUGCUGAUAUUUGAUUUAGCAUAUGACGGUUUCCACUAGUUGGAGAUGGCCAAUCUUAUCGAUGGUGUCGGCUAGAUCGUGUGACUUGACACAGAAUUUAGUAAACAAAUUGAAAAUAUAGAUCGAAAGUCAAAUCAAAGAGUAAGAAAAUCACGUGUAGGUUAGUCUAAAUAUAAAUAGAAAGAAUGGUCCAGGUACAUUUUCUCUACAGCAUAUCAAAAUAACUUUCAUAGAUGGACCGAUUAAAUACUGAACAUGUGGCAUUGGGACUAAUUGAAGAGUCCUUGAAUGCACCAUUACAGUACAAUGUAUUAUUAUCAUGUGCAUGCUCUUUAUCCUUGAAUUAAAUUCCUAUCAUGUAACAAUAUUAAACAAACACAGUCUCGUUUUGAUUAAAUAAGAAGAGUAUAUAUAUAUACGCAAAUAAAAAAAUAAAACAAGUUCUUAUAUAUAUGUUAUCAUUUUAAAAGAGAGUUGUGUUGACAGCUAGGCCAUUCAUGCUGCACUGAGUGUUUUGUCUUUUGGUUGAGGGAGCAUGGAUGUCAGUCUAUCUCUUUAGCUUCUUACUUCGUUUUAGUUUUUUUAUUUCUUUCUCUUGGGUUUAAUAUUGACCUGAACAUUAACAUUAGUUAUCCCUUCUUUGUUACUUUUAACUUUGUGUAGAACGAAAUGCAACUACAAUUCAGAAACCUCUCAAAUAAAUUGAUUUAGACUAAAUAUUAGUAUAGUAGGAAACUAACUGUCUACAAACCUAAUAGCCAACGUUUUACUCUUUUGUUUACUAGUAAUAACAAGUAACGAAAUGUUGUGUAGAACGUCAGUCACUAAUGUAACCAAUGUUUUACUUCUUCUUUUUUGCUGUAAAUGUUAAGAACCAACGUUUUACUUGUUAUACUAGUGCAUUAAUAUAUACCUCAUCCGUUUCCUUGCAAAAUGUUUUGUAAACAAUUUCUAAAUCAGUUAAUUACGAACGAUCUAGUAUAUUUAACGAUAUAGCCAGGUCGAUCGACUGUUUCAUAGUGUUACGUAAUUUUCCUUUAUUUACACGGCAAAAAAGUUUUAAAUCAAUCGAAACUAAAACCGUUAUACUUAGAAGCGAAUAGGACAACAAAGAACAUAUUAUCUUGAAAAGCCGUUCUACGUAAAUUUAUUAGAUAAUUCGUAGCUCGAUUUGUUUCUACAAAAGUUAUAUUGCAUGCUUCGAAUCAAAUUAUCAUUAGCAAAAUGUCAAUCAGUUAAGUAUUUCCGGUUUUUUUUUAUUUAAAUGCUCCAUAUAUGAUAAGAAAAUUGAAUGCCUAACGUCGACGUUCUAUUUCCAGUAUUGAAAAUGUUUCUGAUGUUAUCUAUUGAAUUUGGAGUAGAGUUUAAACAAGCAUUUACGUGCAUCUCAUCUUUCAAGAAACUAGCUUACUAUAAUGUAUUAUAGCUAAUUGAACCUACCUUUUUAAAAAAAAAUGAACCUACCUUUAGAAGAAAGAAUCUUCAAUGCUAAUUAUACGAGAUUAAUCGUACCAACAUGUAAGAAAAGAGAUCCAGUUUAGCAUAUAUUCUAACUUUAUUCACAAGUUUUAGUAAUCACAGAUAAGAAAAUGAAUAAAGGUGGAGAGGUGGGCACGUAGAGAACGAAAGAGUAAAUAGAAUGCAUGGCAUGCAGGAAACAUGAGACAGACAUCGUGAAGGUCCCAUAUUGUCUGGUCUAACCAAACCUUGACAUUUUAUUACAACACUAUCUAUCUAGUAACUAGCGUUCUUCGUAGUGUCGUAGUACUUUAUUUUUUUUCAUAUUACAAUCAAUCUAAAUUCGUAUAAUACUAGAUUUGAUUUUGUUAUCUAGCUCAUUUCUUUGAUAUUAUAUCUAGACGUACUCUUAUCAGUUUAAUUUUUACUUUUUAAUAGAUUAUACUUUUCAUUUCAUCUAGCAAGUAGCAAGUAACUAUCAAUCAUCAUCGUUAGCAGUUUUAUUAAAAAUCUGUACAUCUAGUAAUUGCAUAUUAUAGUCUUUGUAGCUUCAACUCUAUAAACUCGAUCGGAAACGUUGAUAAUAUUUCAUAUAUUUUAGGAAAGUAAUAUUCGAAAAUGAUUACUAUUUAUUUAAGCCUUUUGAAAUUUGUUACUAGCUUACACAUACUAUCCUCUAAUAGUGAAGUUUCGUGGUUAACAAAUACAAAUUCAAAUCAUCUAUUAAUAGUAUAAAUUAUUCGUGAUUUUUAAAGAUGGAAUAUAUGCACAUGACUAUGAUUACUCUAGUCAAUUGAUUGAUCAAAUUAAAAACGUAUAUAUUGUAUUAUUGACGGCUGUGCGAUUACCAAGUGGAAGAUAUUUUUUAUCAUUUUCUUUUAUACGCAUAUUAGUCUCAGGGAAUCUUUCUUAAAUUCGAAAACACUUUGAUAAUAAAACUUUUUCACUGAAUAACUUAGCUAAAAUCUAUCAAUUUUAGUAGUUAAACGAUCUUUUUAUUGAAAUCUAAUAAUAUACCUUGUUAAACUUCAUCUUAUACCACUGACAUGAGCCUCAUACAUUAUAUGAUAUUUCCUGUUAUAUUAUAUGAUAUUGAUACUCAUUAAAUUUUGGUUCAAAUUCUGUUUGGCUUCAAGCGUUAUGGUUCAAUAAAAAUUUCUCAUUUUCACAGUUUUGAGUAAAUAAUAAGAGAACAUAAAGUUAAUAAUCUGAAGCACAACAAAAAAAAAAAAAUUUGAUCGAAAUUUUAAGCAGAAAGGAAAAACGAAAACACUUUGAAGUUAAAUUGUUAUAUGAAAAUAGGAAUUUGGCACAGACCAUAAUGAAUGUGAUGCCCACUCAAAGCCCAGUAAUAAUAUUACAUCAAAAAUCUUCCCGAAUUGUCAAUCGUAUAACUCGCACUAGUUACAAAAGGCCUAUUUUUAAAUAUCAAUGUUUAGCUCGCAUUAGUUACAAAAGGCCCAAUUCUAAAAAUAUUAAUUUUAAAUAUAGGCUCACUAGUCCCUUUCAUUUCAACGUUUUUAUUUUCUUUUAUAUCAUCAAUGGAAUGGAAACCAAUUAAUCGUCUGUACAAGGAUGCUACAUAAUAUAUGUGAAAAAAGUUAUAAAAAGAAAACCAUAUCAGACAUGAUGGAUUUUACUUGAUAUGGUAAUGAAACAGUCCCAAGAAAAAGAAUGGCAAAAAUAAACAAUAUUGGAAUAAGAUGAGGACAUCAAGUCAUCAUCAGAAAAGGAGAAAGAAAUCAGGAGAAAACCAGUGGAGAACAUGAAGCUGAGAAGAGCUAAAGAAGCCGAUCAGGACAUAUGUGCAAUCAAAACUCCGUAUUUUACCAACCAGGAGGAAUUUAUUCAUGAAACUGGUUUUGAUGGAUUCUGCACUCAACAAGAGCACGCGGCGAAUUGGUUUUAUAUCAAAACGAUAAAUGGUUUGGAAGAUAUGUCAUUUUCAAGUCAAGGGCCACGACUUAUAAAAGCUCACUCUAUUGCUUUAUUUAAGCAACUUCAAGAUCCAAAGAUUGAGAGAGUCAAUCAGCCCACCAAAUUGAGAGAGUCAAUCAUUUUCACCACCAUCUCUACCAUCAGUCCAUCUUCCGUACAAGCUUAUUUGAUCUCUUUUGAUCUCCAUACGAGGACAUGUUCAUGGAGUGAUUCUGUGCCUACAUCACAAAGUAUUCGACGCAUAUGUGUAUUCGAUCGCUAACGAGUAAGACGUCUGGUUACCAUAAUAAGAAUGCAUCGUGAAUUUUAUUUCUUUGUAUAUAGCGCACAUAAAUGGUUAUGUAAUAAUUUUAGUUU